rnacentral:rRNA from 1 species
AUACCAAAAAGUAAUUAUCUUAAACCUAAGUAUUUAAAGUUAUGUACUUGAAAUUUGAAGAAUUUGGCGGUGAUUUAGUCUUGUCAGAGGAACCUGUUUUUAAAUCGAUACACCACGAAGAAUCUUACUUAAACUUGUAAAGUAGUAUGUAUACCAUCAUUAUUAGGUAAUUUUUAUAGAAUAAAUUACUGAAAGAUAGUUAUUAAUAGUGUUAAAUAUAUUAGAUCAAGGUGCAGCUAAUGUUUAAGUUAAAAUGGGUUACAAUAAAAAUUUAUUUAAUACGGAAUAUUAAUUUAAAUAAUUAAUUAGAAGGAGGAUUUGAUUGUAAAUUAAAUUUAAUAUGUUUAAUUAGAUAUAAGCUCUAAAUCAUGUACAUAUCGCCCGUCGCUUUCAUUACUAAAAUGAGAU